rnacentral:piRNA from 1 species
UAGCCUGAAUGUUGUGUGCUUUGAAGUUUC